CUACGUGCCAGCAGCCGCGGUAAUACGUAGGUCCCGAGCGUUGUCCGGAUUUAUUGGGCGUAAAGCGAGCGCAGGCGGUUUGAUAAGUCUGAAGUUAAAGGCUGUGGCUCAACCAUAGUUCGCUUUGGAAACUGUCAAACUUGAGUGCAGAAGGGGAGAGUGGAAUUCCAUGUGUAGCGGUGAAAUGCGUAGAUAUAUGGAGGAACACCGGUGGCGAAAGCGGCUCUCUGGUCUGUAACUGACGCUGAGGCUCGAAAGCGUGGGGAGCGAACAGGAUUAGAUACCCUGGUAGUCCACGCCGUAAACGAUGAGUGCUAGGUGUUGGAUCCUUUCCGGGAUUCAGUGCCGCAGCUAACGCAUUAAGCACUCCGCCUGGGGAGUACGACCGCAAGGUUGAAACUCAAAGGAAUUGACGGGGGCCCGCACAAGCGGUGGAGCAUGUGGUUUAAUUCGAAGCAACGCGAAGAACCUUACCAGGUCUUGACAUCCCGAUGCUAUUUCUA
rnacentral:rRNA from 1 species